AACGAACGUUAGCGGCGCGCCUAACACAUGCAAGUCGCGCGAGAAAGGGCUUCGGCCCCAGUAAAGCGGCGCACGGGUGAGUAACACGUAGGUCAUCUUCCCCUGAGUGGUGGAUAACUCUCCGAAAGGAGAGCUAAUACAGCAUAAGACCACGACCUCGCCGAGGUUGUGGCCAAAGCAGACCUCUUCAUGAAAGUUUGCGCUUAGGGAUGAGCCUGCGGCCCAUCAGCUAGUUGGUAGGGUAACGGCCUACCAAGGCUAAGACGGGUAGCUGGUCUGAGAGGAUGAACAGCCACACUGGAACUGAGACACGGUCCAGACUCCUACGGGAGGCAGCAGUGGGGAAUCUUGCGCAAUGGGCGAAAGCCUGACGCAGCGACGCCGCGUGAGCGAUGAAGGCCUU
rnacentral:rRNA from 1 species